GUGUUAUUUUAUGUUUGUGCCUAAUUAGGUACCAUCGAGGAAUACAUAUGUUAGCUUAGGUCUCGUUCACACCAAACAUACAGAGUGUUCUGUGACCCAGGCCUAUUAAUCCCAAUGAUAAAUAAUCACAAAAUAAUUAGCUGACAUCUUGUUUGUGUAGUCAGUAAGCGAGGCAAAGUAACACCUAAUUAAUAAGUACAAUGAAACUAAGCAAAGUAAAUCUUAUGUAU